rnacentral:tRNA from 1 species
GCGGACGUGGCGGAAUUGGCAGACGCACCAGACUUAGGAUCUGGCGAGCAAUCGUGAGGGUUCAAGUCCCUCCGUCCGCACCA